AAUAUUGUAGUUUAAUCAAAACAUUCCAUUUUCGUUGGAGAGAAGGUCUAACCCAGUGUUC
rnacentral:tRNA from 1 species